GACUCAAUCCCGGGUCUCCAGGAUCAUGCCCUGGGCCAAAGGCAGAUGCUUAACUGCUGAGCCCCCCAGACAUCCCUAUUUAUUUUUUUUUUGUGUGUGUGUGUGUGCCAAAUUAGUUUUCCUUUAGGAUGAAAUGUAAAACUUUGGUAUUUUUAGGGGAAACUACAUUCUUAGACAUUAGUAAGUUGCACACCAAAUUUUUAUUUAAACCCUGACCCAUCUUGAAAUUGCCUUUGGAACCUGAUAAAUGUCAUGUUUCAUUGUCCUGUGUAAUUUUUAUUAUAUUGUCAUUAUAAAUGUCAGCUGAUUCCAAGGAGACUCUGGACUGUGAUCUUGGAAAUAUGGUAUAUGAAAAAUUUAUUUUUAUUUCAGGAGAUUACCAAGUAAGAUGAUUUCUUUAGCAAAUUGCCUAAAAGAAAAUUUGGUAUAUUUCCAUGAGUAAUAGAUUCAAGGUUAGCUUUGAAUGUUAAAAGAGCAUUCUCCUAGCUAGUUCAUUGUUGCCAUGACAGUGCUGGCAGUGUGAGUGUUGUAGUAACUCCUUGCAAUGAUCUUAUUUUAGACCCUAACGUUUGCAGUGUCAAACAUCCCCUUCCCCGCCCCAUAAGUAACUCUAGUGGAAAAGUACUGGUUUUCUAACUGGCUUUUGGCUUUGUAGCUGAAAGACUGCACUAUUGUGGGCUUAAAAAAAAAAAAAUAGUGUAGGAGUGUUGAGUAUUUUUCCUGUGGAUUGUGAAUGUUUGAAAUUUCCUAAAAUAUGGUAUUGCAUUACAUGUCAUAACAGCAAGUUGUUUACAGCUAAAAUGAAAAGAGGCCUCAAUUGUCCUCUUAGAAAUCAAGCCCAGAUUAUCAUUAGUUUGAGCUCAUAUAGAAAUCAUUUUUCCGUUUGUAUAUCUUUCAUGCAUACUUUAAAGCUUUUGGAUUCUUUUAUUCUAUUAUUGUGGAAAAUUGGUAUUGGAACCAUAAAGGAUUAUGUUUAAAUAGUAUAGAAAGGUACUUUUUUCUUACCCUUUCCAUAGUUCAACAUUUAUCUGAUGAAAAUGGGACAUCUUAAUCUUAAUUGCCAAAAUUGUGAUGUGACUUAAGUUAUAUAAUGAUUUUAAGAAAUUACUCAGUUUGAAUUAUGUACUUAAAUUAACAUAAUUAUUGAGGUAGUUUUAACUUUGUUGCCUGUAUGUUGCAAAUUAAAUUUUAAAAUACUUCAUUGAUAUUUUCUAAUUGUAAAUCCUGUCAUAACUAUACUGGUAAGCACAAAAUACUUUCAAAUUCAUAAUAGUGCCUGCAUUUUCUAUAAUUUUGUAUACCACUUCUUAGGUCAGAGUUUUGAUAUCUAAGGCAUGUGCCCUAAAAGUUUAGUAAGCAAGAUAAAUCAAAAUGAUUUUGGCAAUGAAUCUUGUCAGAGAAGAUGGAAAAUCUAAAUACUAUACUUCCUUAAUGAGUAAGAGCUACUAACAAGUAAUUCCAUUUGCUUUUUUCCUAAAUGCUCCAUGAAAAGUUUAGUUCAUCUUCCUUAGAUGCUGAAGAUUUAAAUAAACUUUGCACAAUUGGGCCUAUAUUGAGUAUUGGAGAAUGGAUGGAUGUAAGGCAAACUCUUCUUUCUUUCUUCAGUUUGACAUAUCAAAGUAAUUUUCUAAACAAAAAUUUGACCCCAAGUUGUUUGGGCUUUUCCAACACACAAUGAAUAUUUUAAUCUUGAUUUUAUUUUAUUAUUCUCUUCAGUGAAUUAUAUUAAUAUCUCCUUAGUGGUAAUUAUUAAAAUUAAGAGGAGUCUAAUUCCAAUCUACAUUAGUUUUUAAAGGCUGAUUCUUUGAAUUUGGGAGUUGGUGUGUUGAAAAUUGUGAAGAGUCAAGCCUUAAAAUAUUCUGUUAUUUUAGUACAUGUUUAUAUCAAAUGCUUUUUAUUGGUUGGAAUGAAACUAAAUGAUAGUUUGUGACUUUCCCUUUGUUGAAAUACUUAAUGACAGGGUUGCUUUGUUUUCCCCGGAACCCCACAGCACCUCUGAUUGACCUCUAUCUCCCCAUCUAAGGCUGAAAUAAAUAUACUUUUUUAAAGUCCAUUUCUCUGCAUUAUCUAAUUUUAUACCUACAACAAUUCUCUGAGGCUGCUUUCAGUUCCUUGUCAUGUGGAUUUCUCCAUUUGCAUCUUCAUAAAAGGCAUCUGAGAAGAGCCAGAGAGAACCAGCAAAAGAGUUCCAGCAAGACAGAAGUCACAGUUUUAUAACCUGAUCUUGGAAGAGACAUGCCAUCACUUUUGCCCUAAUCUGCUCAUUAGAACCAAGUCAUUUAUCCAGCCCAUACUGAGGAGGAGCAGAUUACACAAUGGUGUGAAUACCAGGAGGCACAGGGAUCAAUGAGAAUCAUUUUUAAAACAGCCUGUCACAACAACAUAUCUCCUGAAGUGAGGGAUUGGGCAGAGUGGACCUCCCUGCACACUGUGAAGAAAGUUGUGAUUUAGAUUGUAUGCCCAGAAACCUAAUGAAGGCCUGAAAGAGACUGUGGUCCAGCAGGUAAUAGUAUGAGCCCAGAGUCUGUCUGCUUCCCAACUUUGCAACCGUUCUCCACUUAAAGGAGCCUCAGACCAUCAGUCUGUCCAGGGAUGCCCUUCCCCAGGUCUGGCUUCUUCACUGGCUGGGGCCCACCAAGGCUCAGUUGGAGCAGCCCGCCCAGUGCCUCUAGCAGCUUCUUGAUAUUCUUUCAUCCCCACAGUCCCCCAUGACGCUUCUGCCUCCCCCCCCCCCAAUUAUUCCUGUGCAAUCUUAGGCAAUUCCCUGCUUCCCAUUCUUUGUGCUAGAAGGAAAACAGCAUUGGUCUAAAAGGUGGGAAGUGGCAAACAUCUUUCAUCAUUCAGUGACUAAUGACCUAUGAAUCACAUCUCAGUUGUGCCUAUGAUUUGAAGAGAAAAGGAAUUAAAGGCCAAAACUUAUGAGCGUUCUCUAAUGAAUAAUGAAUGAGAUUAGCAUAAUUGCAAGUACAAAUUUUUUUAUUCAAAUCUUCCAAACCAACCAAAGUUGGGAUACUUUCCUGUCAAUUUAGUAGUAUCUGAGAGGGAAUAGAUAAUAAUUUACCUUUUUUCAUUUUAUAAGCUUCAGCUCCUUAAAGAUUUUGGCUAUUGCAGAACCUGAUUAAAAUGAUUACAUAACUGAUAGCAAUUUAAAAAUUUUUUACUCCACUGAAUACUGUUUUUUUGAGGCCAGGGCUUUUCAAUUGUAGGGAAAGCUCUUGGUUUAGUUUAAAAAAAAAUCAUUUAUCAUUUUCUCAUAUUUGUUUUUAAUGUAUUGGACAAAUAUUUGAUUACAAUUGAAAUAUUUUCGGGGAUCCUUGUGUGGCUCAAUGGUUUGGUGCCUGCCUUCAGCCCAGGGCAUGGUCCUGGAGUCCCAGGAUUGAGUCCCGGGAUCGAGUCCCACGUUUGCAUGGAGCCUGCUUCUCCCUCUGCCUCUCUCUCUG